AGAAAGAAAGAAAGAAAAGAUGUGGAGUCCUGGAUCCCACCCCCAGGGACUGAUUGAGUAGCGAAGCCACGGGAGAGAAUCCGCCUGCGCUGCUGGGCACCUGCUCAACACGUGUUUCCCUGGAGGAUGCUCGCGAGCCACGGUGGCCUUCGCACGAGUGAGAAGCCAACUCACUCACGGACACAGAGAAAACAGGUAUGUCCCACUCACGUCAAGGGUUCAGCUAACCAGUGGAUGGCAGUGCCAUACGGAGAAUGUUUAACAACAGUAGCAGAAAUACUUCAAACUUCUCAGUAGAAGAAACUGUUGUCCCAACAGACCAUAGAUACGCUUCUUCUUCGGCUCUGUUAAAUAGCAAACCAUUCAAUAGGGUCAGAUGUUGAGCGUUCAA